UUGGUGCAAAAGUAAUUGCGGUUUUUGCUAUUGAAUGUAAUGGUGAAAACUGCGAUUACUUUUG
rnacentral:miRNA from 1 species